rnacentral:rRNA from 1 species
GACGAACGCUGGCGGCGUGCUUAACACAUGCAAGUCGAACGAAGAGCGAUGGAAGCUUGCUUCUAUCAAUCUUAGUGGCGAACGGGUGAGUAACGCGUAAUCAACCUGCCCUUCAGGGGGGGACAACAGUUGGAAACGACUGCUAAUACCGCAUACGAUCUAAUCUCGGCAUCGAGGAUAGAUGAAAGGUGGCCUCUACAUGUAAGCUAUCACUGAAGGAGGGGAUUGCGGCUGAUUAGCUAGUUGGAGGGGUAACGGCCCACCAAGGCGAUGAUCAGUAGCCGGUCUGAGAGGAUGAACGGCCACAUUGGGACUGAGACACGGCCCAGACUCCUACGGGAGGCAGCAGUGGGGAAUCUUCCGCAAUGGACGAAAGUCUGACGGAGCAACGCCGCGUGAGCGAUGACGGCCUUCGGGUUGUAAAGCUCUGUUAAUCGGGACGAAAGGCCUUCUUGCGAAUAGUGAGAAGGAUUGACGGUACCGGAAUAGAAAGCCACGGCUAACUACGUG